rnacentral:rRNA from 1 species
GACGAACGCUGGCGGCGUGCCUAAUACAUGCAGGUAGAACGCACAGUUUAUACCGUAGCUUGCUACACCAUAGACUGUGAGUUGCGAACGGGUGAGUAACGCGUAGGUAACCUGCCUGGUAGCGGGGGAUAACUAUUGGAAACGAUAGCUAAUACCGCAUAAUAUUAAUUAUUGCAUGAUAAUUAAUUGAAAGGUGCAAUUGCACCACUACCAGAUGGACCUGCGUUGUAUUAGCUAGUAGGUGAGGUAACGGCCCACCUAGGCGACGAUACAUAGCCGACCUGAGAGGGUGAUCGGCCACACUGGGACUGAGACACGGCCCAGACUCCUACGGGAGGCAGCAGUAGGGAAUCUUCGGCAAUGGACGAAAGUCUGACCGAGCAACGCCGCGUGAGUGAAGAAGGUUUUCGGAUCGUAAAGCUCUGUUGUAAGAGAAGAACGGGUGUGAGAGUGGAAAGUUCACACUGUGACGGUAUCUUACCAGAAAGGGACGGCUAACUACGUG